UUUUUUUCUUUUUGUAAAGUCUGAAGUCUCAUCCCGACUUGUGGGGGAAUCAUAGUCUUCAUCAUCCUUUCCUCACUGGGACAAUGCUGUAAUAAUGAAAAUCAUCACACUUUUAUGGAUUUACAACUCAAGAAUUAAAACUCAAAGCUAGAACAAGAUAUGACUCUAUAUGAAUGCAUCCGGCGGUGUAUCGGGAUAUGCAAUGAAUCAAGAGCGACAUGUAUGAAAAUUAUGAAGGUGGCCUAGCCACAAAUACGAUGUCAACUACAUGAUCAUGCAAAAAGCAAUAUGACAAAAGUAAUGCAUGUCAUAUGAACGGAACGGUGGAAAGUUGCAUGGCAAUAUAUCUCGGAAUGGCUAUGGAAAUGCCAUAGUAGGUAGGUAUGGUGGCUGUUUUGAGGAAGGUAAAUGGUAGGUGUAUGGUACCGGCGAAAGUUGUGUGGCACAAGAAAGGCUAGCAAUGAUGGAAGGGUGAAAGGGUGCGUAUAAUCCAUGGACUCAACAUUAGUCAAAAGAACUCAUGUACUUGUUGCAAAAAUCUAGAAGUCAUCAAAAACCAAAGCACUACGCGCAUGCUCCUAGGGGGAUAGAUUGGUAGGAAAAGACCAUCGCUCGUCCCCGACUGCCACUCAUAAGGAAGACAAUCAAUAAAUAAAAUUGUGCUCCAACUUCAUCACAAAGCGGUUCACCAUACGUGCAUGCUACGGGAAUCACAAACUUUAACACAAGCAUUCUUUAAAUCCAUAAUCACCCAACUAUCAUGACUUUAAUAUCACUACCUCCAUGUCUCAAAAUAAUUGUCAAGCAUCAAAUUGAUCAUAGCAUCCAAUUCACUUUCUAUGAUAGUUUUUAUUAUACCCAACUUGGAUGCUCAUCAUUCUAGGACCAACUUUAAAACCAUAGAAAAUACCAUGCUGUUCUAAAAGACUCCCAAAAAUAUAUAAGUGAAGCAUGAGAGACUAGUAAUUUCUUAAAAAUUAAGACACCACCAUGCUCUAAAAGAUAUAAGUGAAGCACUAGAGCAAAACUAUCAAGCUCAAAAAAAAAGAUAUAAGUGAAGCACAUAGAGUAUUCUAGCAAAUUCUAAUCAUAUAGGCUUCUCCCAAAAGGUGUGUACACCAAGGAUGAUUGUGGUAAACUAAAAAGCAAAUACUAACAUAAUACACGACGCUCCAAGCAAAACACAUAUCAUGUGGCGAAUAAAAAUAUAGCUCCAAGUAAAGUUACCAAUGAACGAAGACGAAAGAGGGGAUGCCUUCCCGGGGCAUCCCCAAGCUUAGGCUUUUGGCUAUCCUUGAAUAUCUUGGGGUGCCUUGGGCAUCCCCAAGUUUAGGCUCUUGCCACCCUUUAUUCCAUAGUCCAUAAAAGCUUUACCCAAAACUUGAAAACUUCACAAUACAAAACUCAACAGGAAAUCUUAUAAGCUCCGUUAGUGAAAAAAACAAAACCACCACAUAAGGUACUGUAAUGAACUCAUUCUUUAUUUAUUUUGGUGUUAAACCUACUGUAUUCCAACUUCUCUAUGGUUUAUAAACUAUUUUAUUGGCCGUAGAUGCAUUGGAAUAAGCAAACAACACACGAAAAACAGAAUCUGUCAAAAACAGAACAGUCUGUAGCAAUCUGUAACUAACGCAAACUUCUGGAACUCUAAAAAUCCUAACAAAAUAGGAAGUCCUGGAAAAUUUGUUUAUUGAUCAGCAGCAAAAACAAUCAACGCAAAAGCAUGUUCCUGUGGUUUAACAAAAUUAUAUUCGUGCGUGCAAAGUUUCUGUUUUUCAGCAGAAUCAAAUCAACUAUCAUCAUAGGUUAUCCUAUAGGUUCUACUUGGCACAAACACUAAUUAAAAGAUAAAACACAUCUAAAUAGAAGGUAGAUGCAAGAUUUAUUACUAAACAGGAGAAAAAACAAAAAGCAUAAAGAAAAUUGGGUUGCCUCCAACUAGCGCUAUCGUUUAACGCCCCUAGCUAGGCAUAAAAGCAAAGAUAGAUCUAACGGGUGCCAUCUUUGGCACUAAAUUCAUAAGUAGCCCGCAUGAUAGAUUCAUAAGGUAAUUUGAAUUUCUUUCUUGGAAAGUGCUCCAUGCCUUUCUUUAAUGGAAAUUGGAAUCUAAUAUUCCCUUCCUUCAUAUCAAUAAUCGCACCAAUCGUUCUAAGGAAAGGUCUACCAAGAAUAAUAAGGCAAGAAAGAUUGCAAUCUAUAUCAAGAACGAUGAAAUCCACGGGCACCAAAUUUCUAUUUGCAACAAUAAGAACAUCAUUGAUCCUUCCCAUUGGCUUUUUAAUGGUGGAAUCCGCAAGGUGAAAAUUUGAAGAGCAAUCAUCAAGAUCAUGGAAACCUAGAAUAUCACAUAAAGUUUUUGGAAUCGUGGAAACACUAGCACCCAAAUCACACAAAGCAAAACACUCAUGAUCUUUAAUUCUAAUCUUUAUAGUAGGUUCCCACUCAUCAUUAAGUUUUCUAGGUAUAGAAACUUCCAAAUUAAGUUUUUCAUCAUAAGAUUGCAUCAAGGCAUCAACAAUAUGUUUGGUAAAAGCUUUGUUUUGACUAUAAGCAUGAGGAGAAUUACCAACGGAUUGCAACAAGGAAAUACAACCUUCUAAAGAACAAUUAUCAUAAUCAAAUUCCUUGAAAUCCGAGAUAGUGGGUUCAAUGUUAUUUGAAGUUGUGGCUUCUCCAAUCCCACUUUUACCAAAUUUAGUAUCAAUAUCUAAAAACUCUGAAUUCUUGGGACGCCUUCUAGGCAAAGUUGAUUCAUCAUCAGUCCCAUAAUUAUCAAAAUUCAUAUUGCAAAACAUAGAUCUAAUAGGGGACACAUCAAUAACUUUAAGAUCCUCAUCAUUAUUUUCAUCUCACUUUUCUGGUUUCACGACCAUCUUAUUGACUAAGGUGGCUUGCUUAUCAGAAAUUUUGGCUAUAGCACUUUCAAGCCGGGUAAUUUGAGUAUUAACACCAUAAAAUUCUUUAUUCAUAUCAUCAAGCUAUUUGUUCAUGAAACCCAAAAAACCUUUUUGCUCCUUAAGCUCUUUUCUAAAGAAAUUAUUAUGCUCAAAUUGCAAGUUCAUAAAGCUUCUAAUAUUUGAUUCAAUCUCUUCCAUCCUUCUGAGAAGGUGGUCAGGACCCUUAGGCGAAGCCAUAAGGACAAACAGGCACACAAGCAAGCAGAAAAACGGCAAGCGAAAAGAGAGGAGGAGAUUGGGAAAGAGAGGGUGAAUAAAACGGCAAGGGUGAAGUGGGGGAGAGGAAAACGAGAGGCAAAUGGCAAAUAAUGUAAAUGUGAGGGAGAUGGGUUUGUGAUGGGUACUUGGUAUGUCUUGACUUGAGCGAAGACCUCCCCGACAACGGCGCCAGAAAUCCUUCUUGCUACGUCUUGAGCUUGCGUUCGCUUUCCUCGAAGAGGAGAGGGUGAUGCAGCCAUAGUAGCGUAAGUAUUUCCCUCAGUUUUUGAGAACCAAGGUAUCAAUCCAGUAGGAGGCUCCUCAAAAGUCCCACGCACCUACACAAACAAACUAAGAACUCACAACCAACGCAAUAAAGGGGUUGUCAAUCCCUUCACGGCCACUUGCGAAAGUGAGAUCUAAUAAAGAUAGUAAGAUAAGAUAAAUAUAUUUUUGGUAUUUUAUAAUAUAGAUGCAAAAAGUAAAGAUGCAAAUAAAAGUAGAUUGGAAGCAAAUAUGAUAUGAGAUAGACCCGGGGGGCAUAUGUUUCACUAGUGGCUUCUCUCAAGAUAGCAUAUGUAUUACGGUGGGUGAACAAAUUACUGUCGAGCAAUUGAUAAAAAAGCGAAUAAUUAUGAGAUUAUCUAGGCAUGAUCAUGUAUAUAGGCAUCACGUCCGCAACAAGUAGCACGACUCCUGCUUGCAUCUACUACUAUUACUCCACACAUCGAUCAACUCCUCCCUGCAUCUAGAGUAUUAAGUUCAUAAGAACAGAGUAAUGCAUUAAGCAAGAUGACAUGAUGUAGAUGGAUAAACUCAAGCAAUAUGAUAUAAACCCCAUCUUGUUAUCCUCGAUGGCAACAAUACAAUACGUGCCUUGCAACCCUUUCUGUCACUGGGUAAGGACACCGCAAGAUUGAACCCAAAGCUAAGCACUUCUCCCAUGGCAAGAAAGAUCAAUCUAGUAGGCCAAACCAAACUAAUAAUUCGAAGAGACUUGCAAAGAUAACUCAAUCACACAUAAAAGAAUUCAGAGAAGAUUCAAAUAUUAUUCAUAGAUAAACUUGAUCAUAAACCCACAAUUCAUCGGAUCUCGACAAACACACCGCAAAAAGAGAUUACAUCGAAUAGAUCUCCACAAGAGAGGGGGAGAACAUUGUAUUGAGAUCCAAAAAGAGAGAAUAAGCCAUCUAGCUAAUAACUAUGGACCCGUAGGUCUGUGGUAAACUACUCACAACUCAUCGAAGGGGCAAAGAUGUUGAUGUAGAAGCCCUCCGUGGUCGAUUCCCCCUCCGGCAGAGUGCCGGCGAAGGCUCCAAGAUGAGAUCUCGCGGAUACAUAAGGUUACGGUGUUGGAAAUUGUGUUUCGUCUGCCCCCUGGAUGUUUUCGGGGUACGUAGGCUUAUAUAGGGGGAAGUAGUACGUCGGUGGCCGCCCGAGCGGCCCACGAGACAGGGGCGCACCCUAUGGGGGGGGCCCUCCUAUCUCGUGGGAGCCUUGGCUGCUUCUUGACUUGCACUCCAAGUCCUCUGGAUCACGUUUGUUCCAAAAAUCACGCCCUGAAGGUUUCAUUCCGUUUGGACUCCGUUUGAUAUUCCUUUUCUUCGAAAUACUGAAAUAGGCAAAAAAACAGCAAUAUGGGAUGGGCCUCCGGUUAGUAGGUUAGUCCCAAAAAUGAUAUAAAUGUGUAAAAUAAGGCCCAUAAACAUCCAAAAGGGGUAAUAUAAUAGCAUGGAACAAUCAAAAAUUAUAGAUAUGUUGGAGACGUAUCAGGGACCCCUUACCCGAGAUCCGCCGGUUGUGACACUGACAGACCCCUCUAGAUGGAUCUAGAGGAUGGGGCGGCAGCCAGGGGAAACCCUAGAUGGGUUUGGGCACCCCCACCCCUAGGAAACUUGCCCCCCAAGUCGGGAGGGGCGGCUGCCCUAGGGGUGGCGCCCCCACCUCUCCAGGUUAUGUGAGAUGGGGUGGAAGGGGCGCACAACCCCUUAGUGGGCUGGUGUGCCCCCUCCCCUUGGCCCAUACGCCCCCCCCCCCAACACUUGCCGGGGCCUCCGAAACUCCUUUUGGUGACACUGGUUGUCACUCGGUACCCCUGGAACAAUUCCGGACUCCAAUACCCUUCGUCCAAUAUAUCAAUCUUCACCUCCCGACCAUUCCAGAGUUCCUCGUCACGCCUGAGAUCUCAUCCGGGACUUCGAACAACCUUCGGUAACAACAUACUAUUUCCCAUAACAACUCUAGCGUCACCGAACCUUAAGUGUGUAGACCCUACGGGCUCGGGAACCAUGCAGACAUGACCGAGAUACCACUCUGGUCAAUAACCAAUAGUGGGAUCUGGAUACCCAUAUUGGCUCCCACAUGUUCCAUGAUGAUCUCAUCAGAUGAACCACUAUGUCGGGGAUUCAAUCAAUCCCGUACACAAUUCCCUUUGUACAUCGGUAUGCUACUUGCCAGAGAUUCGAUCGUCGGUAUCCCCGUACCUUGUUCAAUCUCAUUACCAGCAAGUCUCUUUACUUGUUCCGUAACGCAUGAUCCCGUGGAUAACUCCUUUGUCACAUUGAGCUCAUUAUGAUGAUGCAUUACCGAGUGGGCCCAGAGAUACCUCUCCGUCAUACGGAGUGACAAAUCCCAGUCUCGAUUCGUGCCAACCCAACAGACACUUUCGGAGAUACCUGUAGUGCACCUUUAUAGCCACCCAGUUACGUUGUGACAUUUGGUACACCCAAAGCAUUCCUACGGUAUCCGGGAGUUGCACAAUCUCAUGGUCUAAGGAAAGAUACUUGACAUUAGAAAAGCUCUAGCAAACGAACUACACGAUCUUAUGCUAUGCUUAGGAUUGGGUCUUGUCCAUCACAUCAUUCUCCUAAUGAUGUGAUCUCGUUAUCAAUGACAUGCAAUGUCCAUGGUCAGGAAACCAUAACCAUCUAUUGAUCAACGAGCUAGUCAACUAGAGGCUCACUAGGGACAUGUUGUGGUCUAUGUAUUCACACAUGUAUUACGGUUUCCAGUUAAUACAAUUAUAGCAUGAACAAUAGAAAAUUAUCAUGAACAAGGAAAUAUAAUAAUAACCAUUUUAUUAUUGCCUCUAGGGCAUAUUUCCAACAGUAAGGACAACACCCAAGCACCGGUCAACCCACAUAUCAAAUUAUCAAAGUAACGAACGUGAAUCAUAUGAGCAUGAUGAAAACUAACUUGACGGUAAUUCCCAUGUGUCCUCGGGAGCGCUUUGUUUUAUAUAAGAGUUCAUCCAGGCUUGUCCUUUGCUAUAAAAAGGAUCAGGCCACCUUGCUGCACCUUUGUUACACUUGUUACUUGUUACCCGUUACAAAACUAUCUGUUACUGAUAAUUUCAGUACGUGCAGAAAAUACCUUGCUGAAGACCGCUUGUCAUUUCCUUCUGCUCCUCGUUGGGUUCGACACUCUUACUUAUCGAAAGGACUAUUGAGGGAGUCCUAGACUAGGGGGUGUCCGGAUAGCCGAACUAUCAUCAUUGGUCGGACUCCAAGACUAUGAAGAUACAAGAUUAAAGACUUCGUCCCGUGUCCGGAUGGGACUUUCCUUGGCGUGGAAGGCAAGCUUGGCGAUACGGAUAUGUAGAUCUCCUACCAUUAUAACCGACUCUGUGUAACCCUAGCCCUCUCCCGUGUCUAUAUAAACCGGAGGGUUUUAGUCCAUAGGAUGAACAAUAAUCAUACCAUAGGCUAGCUUCUAGGGUUUAGCCUCCUUGAUCUCGUGGUAGAUCCACUCUUGUACUACCCAUAUCAUCAAUAUCAAUCAAGCAGGAGUAGGGUUUUACCUCCAUCGAGAGGGCCCGAACCUGGGUAAAAACAUCGUGUCCCUUGUCUCCUGUUACCAUCCGCCUAGACGCACAGUUCGGGACCCCCUACCCAAGAUUCGCCGGUUUUGACACCGACAUUAGUGCUUUCAUUGAGAGUUCAUGUGUGUCGUCGCUCAUAGGCCCGAUGGCUCCUUCGAUCAUCAACAACGAUGCGGUCCAGGGUGAGACUUUUCUCCCCGGACAGAUCUUCCUAUUUGGCGGCUUUGCACUGCGGGCCAAUUCGCUUGGCCGUCUGAAGCAGAUCGAAAGCUACGCCCCUGGCCAUCAGGUCAGAUUUGGAAGUUUGAACUAUACGGCCGACAUCCGCGGAGACUUGAUCUUCGACGGAUUCGAGCCACAGCCGAGCGCGCCGCACUGUCGUGGUGGGCAUGAUCUAGAUCUGCUGCCGGACAGUGCCCUGGAGGCCGCACAAGAGUCCACUCCGGCCCUUAACCCGGAGCCGACUGCGCCGAUCGAGGAUGGGUGGCUAGACACCGCCUCGGGGGCUGCUACCUCUACGGCGAUGGAGCCGAAUACCGACCCUAUCCCUUGUAAAGCUUGUGACCCAAGGUGCCGGACCCUUCUCCGGACCCCGAACCUUCCGUGCUCCUGCUAAUCAAAUCCGAUUGGGGGCCGAUCAUGGAGUUCACCGCUGCGGACAUCUUUCAGCACUCACCUUUCGGCGACAUCCUGAAUUCGCUAAAGUGCCUCUCUUUAUCAGGAGAGCCUUGGCCGGAUUAUGGCCUGGACGGUUGGGAUGCGGACUACGAAGAAAUUCAAAACCCACCCACCACCCACUUCGUAGCCACUGUCGACGACUUAACCGACAUGCUAGACAUCGACUCUAAAGACAUCGACGGUAUGGACGACGAUGCCGGAGACGACCAAGAACCAGCACCCACAGGGCACUGGAAAGCCACCUCAACUCACGAUGUGUAUAUGGUGGAUACACCAAAAGGAAGCAGUAACGAGGAACAAAGGGACGCUGCGAAGGAUAAUUCCCCCGAAAAACAGCCGAAACGGCGCCGCAAGCGCCGCCCAAAGUCCCGCCUCAACAACGACAGCACCCAUACAGACCCAGCCGUAGAGCAGGGCGAACCAGUGGACAACGAACAUGCCACCAAGCAACCAUCCGAACAGGAUGAAUUGGAUAAACAACCCAUCCCCGGCGAAAACAACAGUCCGGAUGAUCUCACGCCGGACACAUCAUUGGAGCAGAAGAACCUUCACAAAAGGCUCGUCACCACUGCACGAAGUCUGAAGAAGCAGAAGCGGAAGCUCAAAACAGCGGAAGACGUACUUAGAAUGAGAUGGAGCAAAGUACUCAAGUACACAGACAAAUACGGCGAUAGCCGCCAAGCAAAGAGCUACCCAAAGCGCAAACUAUUGCCCGAAUUCGACGAGGAGGCCGUAGAGCCCCACAAUCAAAAAACAAAGAGGCCGCCCAGUCGGAUAGACGACCACAUUACAAACAAAGAGCGGCAAGCGGCGCCGCACACAAGCCGGUAGGCGAUCCACAUAAGGAUCCUCGCAAAAAGGAUGGCCCGGUCAGGUCCAUCUAUGGGCCAAGAAAGAAAGCUCUAGAAAGCAACACAACACGUCAAGUAUUCGAAAAUCACGGUACACCCAAAUACAGGGGCGCCGCACACCCCCUAUGUUUCACCGAUGAGGUACUGGAUCAUGAAUUUCCAGCGGGAUUCAAGCUCGUAAACAUAGAGGCAUACGACGGAACAACAGACCCCGGAGUCGGGAUCGAGGAUUACAUCCUACACAUACAUAUGGCUAGAGGAGAUGACCUCCAUGCCAUAAAAUACUUACCCCUCAAGCUCAAAGGGCCGGCUUGGUAUUGGCUCAAAAGCCUCCCAGAAAAUACCAUUGGAAGUUGGGAAGAGCUCGAGGAUGCGUUUUGGGCAAAUUUUCAGGGGACUUAUGUCCGCCCUCCGGAUGCAGACGAUUUAAGUCACAUAACUCAACAGCCCGAGAGUCAGCCCGCAAAUUCUGGAACAGGUUCCUCACCAAAAAGAACCAAAUAGUCGACUGUCCGGACGCCGAAGCCUUAUCAGCCUUCAAACAUAACGUCCGGGACGAAUGGCUCGCCACACACCUCGGCCAGGAAAAGCCAAGGACAAUGGCCGCACUAACAAGCCUCAUGACCCGCUUUUGCGCGGGAGAAGAUAGCUGGCUGGCAAGAUGCAGCACCAGCGACCCGAGUACAUCCGAGGCUAGGGAUGGAAACGGGAAACCACGACGCAGAAAAGACCAGCGCUGGACUAAGGAAAAUGGCCCAAAGAGCACGGCAGUCAACGCCGGGUUCAAAAGCUCUAGGCAAAACAAAAAAACACUGCCUCUCAAGGACAACAGCGACGAGCUAUCCAACCUAAACAAAAUCUUGGACAGGAUAUGUCAAAUCCAUAGUACCCCUGGGAAGUCUGCAAACCAUACCCACAGAGAUUGUUGGGUCUUCAAGCAGUCCGGCCGACUUAACGCUGAACACAAGGGGAUCGACACACCAAGUGAGGACGAUGACGAGCCCCACAAGCAGAGCGCCAGAAAACAAAAGAAUUUCCCACAAGAGGUCAAAGCAGUGAAUUCACUUCAAGUGAUAACAAGGAAAAAUAGAGCGGCGCCCACUAAAGUACGCGCCGCAUGGUCCACCCCAGCGGAGUCCCGAAACUGGAUGUCAAAACCAAUAACUUUCGACCAUCAGGAUUACUCCGGAAGUAUCCGAAACGCAGGAUGGACUGCUUUGAUAUUGGAUCCUAUAAUCGACGGACUACAAUUUACACAAGUCCUAAUGGACAGCGGCAGUGAUCUAAACCUGCUAUACCAGGACACAAUCCGCAGAAUGGGGAUAGACCCAACCAAAAUUCGCCAUAGCAACACUUCCUUUAAAGGAGUGACGCCAGGCCCAUAAGCCAAUUGUACGGGCUCCCUACUACUAGAAGUUGUGUUCGGUUCACCCGACAACUUCCGUCGCGAAAAGUUAAUCUUCCAUAUCGCCCCAUUUAAAAGUAGCCAUCAAGCACUAUUGGGACGCGAAGCUUUCACCCGCUUUAAUGCAAUACCGCAUUACGCGUCUCUUACACUUAAAAUGCCCGGACCAUGCGGCAUCAUCUCAUUAAAGGGUAACUUCGAGUGUUCCUCGAACGCGGAAGAACGUGAGACUGCCUUGACAGCCGCACACUAAUCCGGCUUUGCUGAUCAAAGCCCCUAAAACAGGUCAUUCAGACCCUGGACUCGGUUAGGCGAGUCCAGUAUAAAUAAACAAGGGGCUUACUAGCCACGUAUCCCUUUACAAGGGGAUGCACGCAUGUACAAUGAGAGCCAAUAAAGCUCAAUUUUAUUUAGUUUUUGAAUCAUACUCUGUUUAUUUUAAAAAAAAUAAGUACAUACAUUUUACGCAUGAUCUUUUUUCAAACUAAGUUCUUCUCUUUUACAGAUGAACAACGUGCUACACCCGUCCAGGAUACAGCACAACGGAGACACAGGCGCAGACGUGCAGCAGGGACCCGUUGCAAGGAUUCUUUUCAGAUUAAGACCCUGCGUAAACCUUUUUUACUGUCUCUUGUUGAUACACAUCCCCCGGUUUCUUACCAUAACCGAGGAGGAGGCUGGCGUUUUGGCAUUGGCCGCGCUAGAAGUUUUCGCGCGUACCUGGACACGAGGGGCUUAGGGCAUUGUUCUGCCCAUUUUCAUAAAGACCGAAUACCUUAGGGAGUGUUCGGCGUCUCGAGUUAGGCCUUAUAUGCAUCAGCUCCGAAUCAUGUCUUUGGUCAAAUGUUAGGUUUGCCCGGCUCCUGUGUUUUGCUGCCUUACGUACUGCGAUUGUGCCCCGGUUCGGCCGUGUGAGCACCUCAGUAGAGAAAGCCGAAAACUGACUGUCAUGAUAUAGCGAGAGACUGGUCAACCACUCGAUCGACCACCGGAAUGUUUAGAAUUCCUCUACUUUGACGAAGGACGUUUCCCGGUCAGGCACACACGCGCCCCAAAUUCGGAGGGUGAGGUGCCCCUAGGGGCUAUAUAGUAGCCCCACCAUUGAACUCCUAUGGCUAAGUGAAAGUGAUAAAGCAUUAUAGUCCGGUUGCCUAGUUUGCUACGCUAUCACCUCCUUCACAGGACCAAGACGUUGGAUUAAGUGUGAAAAUGCGCUUUUUUGCAAACACCCCCGCACUAUGUGCGUGGGGGCUGAAGCCAAAGACUGCCAUCUUUCAGGUUAUAUAUACAUAUACAUUAAAGGCCGCAUAGGAGGUAUUUCAAUACUUGAACGCACAAGUAUAAAAGCCCUUAUAUUACAUAUUUGAAACAUGGUUUCACAAAUCAUACAUGUCAUUUGAACAUAAUGUUUUUCGAGCACUGCGACUCUAUUAAACGAGCGCCCUGCAGGACUUCCUCAAAAUAGUGCUCGGCUGGUAAUCGACUUUUGUCCGAAUCCCGGGAUGCAACAUCGUCGGCCUCCAUCUCUGCCCAGUACGUUUUGACACGGGCGAGAGCCAUCCGUGCACCCUCUAUGCAUGCCAACCGCUUCAUCGGCUUGAUAUGCGGCACCGCAUCAAGGAACUGCUACACCAAGCCAAAAUAACUCUUCGGCUCGGGCCUUUCCGGCCACAGAUGAGCCACGACAUCCUUCAUGGCAAGUCCGAACAACCUGUUCAGCUCAGCCCACUCAGCCAACCGAUCGGUUAACGGAAGUGGACGCUCCGAAUUAUGGAAUUGAGACCAAAAAAGCUCUUCCAUUCCGUGAUCCUUUUGGCCUCGGAAAUGUACAACUGCGUCCGCCGCACUCGCCGCCAAAUUCAGAUAAGCAUCCUCCGCACCCCACAACUGGCCUAACUGAGCAUACUUUGGAUCCGUGAACUUCCUACGCAGCAGAAAGGGCUUUCCAGCCGCAAUAUCACCGGCCUGACGCAGCUCCUCCUUUAUAGCCCUCAUUGCGGAGCGGGCAUCCUUGGCUUCGGCGGUGGCCUUCUUAAGGUCCUCUUGCUCUGCUCGGCAUUCUCUUUCAAGAAACUCAUAGCGGUCGGUAGCAUCCUUCAGCUUCACGGCCAUUUCGGCCAUUUCCUCCCUGCUUCGGCAGUGAGCAGCCUGCUCGGCUUUUAGCUCUUCGGCCGCCUUCAAGGCAGCCGCAUUACUUUUUCUGGCUUGCUCCUUGGCUCGGGCAAGCUCCGCCCGAAGCUCCUCCAUAGCAGCGGCGCCAUCUACAUCAAAGCAUACAUGUUGUAAGGCACGGGCAUCCAGCUCCCUUACCAGGUGACCGCGGAGAAGCCACAUACCUUGUGACUCGUCAAGUCGUUUAUUGACCAGCACGAUGUCCGCAUCCGCAACGUCAAGUUGCCUCUUCAGUUCGGCAACUCCAUUAGUUCGGCUGGCCACCGAACGCCCCGCCACCUGUAUGGGAAGGGCGACAUCUUAUAACUGAGAUUAUGAUCCUCGGCAUGCUGUCGUUUUCGACAACAUACCGAGUCUCAGGGGCUACUAUCUAUACAGGGCGCAUUCUAAGUGCAAAACUGUCAAAAGGUAUGUCAUUUUUACGUACCUCAAACCCCGUCAGUAAACUUCUGACGGCCUCAUGCAACCCGCUCUCAACGGAUGAAAUCCUUUCAAUCACCGUACUCAUCAACGUACGGUGAUCUUCUGAGAUAGACGCCCGCCCAAGCAGAUCCUUCAGCUCCUUCAGCCGUACAGCAGUCGAUGUCGAACUAUCCGGCCCCGCCAGACUCGGGGAGACCCUCCGCGACGACACCUCAGGGUCGUCCGCCCCGCCUGACGGUGCGGCAGAUGGAGGCGUUUCGCUCUCCAUCAUCUCCGGACGAAGAUCCCCCGAAGAUGAGCUCUGCUGAGAAGGGCUGGGAUCCGAACUACAAGGUAAAACUUCGGUUAUCUUCAGAAAUGAAAACAGGGAUGUCCCUUAUUACAAAACUCCCCUUUCUACUUACGGCUCCCUGGAGGGCUGAUUCCCUUGGGGAAAUAGUGCGGCCGGGGCUUCUCCCGGCGCAGGACCCUCUAGUGAGGAUUUCUUCCCCCGCUUUGAGGCCUUGGCCUCCGGAUCUUCAGAAGCGGUCCUCUUCUCCCCCUGGAAGGAGGGAUUCUCGAUCCCCCCUUUCUUAAGAGCCUCCUUAGCGGAGGCGGUGGUUUUCCUGUUUUCCCCUUCACCCUCUUCUGAAGGCGCAGCCUCCAGCAUCUUGAUUAACACGGGAUCCGGCGUGGUCUCAGGGAGGGGGGCCGGACACCGUAUCAGUUUUGCUUUUGCUAUCCACUCCUGUUCAAGGGAUAGCUAGUUAAAGGGCAAGUCUAUGAUAAAUGAACGGACAGUAUGUCCGGACACAGGACUACUUACUUGAGUAUCCGGGCGAUUGCAGUUCAGGCCCGCGUCCUCGGUCAAGUCCGGACACAUCUCUUGUGAUCCGAAGAACAGUUUAUACAUCUCCACGGGCAUCGCACCCAUGAAGUGUUGAAGAGCUCGCGGUCCCUCCGGGUUGAAUUCCCAUAGGCAGAGGGGGCGACGUUUGCAGGGCAGAAGGCGCCGAAUCAGCAUGACCUGCGCCACUACAACCAGAUUGAUCUCCCUCUCUUGGAGGUCUCGAAUGCGGCCCUGCAAUAAUGGCACGUCCUUGGACAGCCCCCAGUCAAGCCCUUUGUUGACCCAUGACGCCAGCCGUUGUGGAGGGCCCGAGCGAAAAGCAGGCGGCGCCACCCAUCUGGCGCCCCUAGGAGCGGUGAUGUAAAACCACUCCUGUUGCCACAAACCGAGCUCCUUUUGAAAACAGCCCUCGGGCCACGGAGCGUCAGCUCUCUUGCUUAUAACUACCCCUUGCACUCUACCUGCCGCUCCUCGAUCAUCUUCGGCUCCAUGUCGAAGGUCUUGAGCCACAAUCCGAAGUGAGGAGUGGUGUGAAGGAAGGCUUCGCAUACAACAAUGAAUGAUGAGAUGUGGAGGAUGGACUCCAGAUCCAAGUCAUGGAAUUCCAGCCCAUAAUAAAACAUGAGCCCCCUCGCGAAGGGGUCCAUCGGGAAACCUAAACCUCGACGGAAGUGAGACACGAACACCACGCUCUCACCAGGCUCGGGAGUAGGAAUGACUUGCCCUUGGGCGGGCAGCCUGUGCGAAAUUUUGUCGGUCAGAUACCUGGCAUCUCUCAGCUUUAGCACAUCUUCUUCCGUGACGGAAGAGGGCAUCCACCGGCCCUGUAGGUCGGAGCCGGACAUUGUCGAAGGUCCGAAGCGCCUGAAUCUGGAGCCUUGGGUGUUGGAACUCGAGGCGAGGGGCGGAUUCGAUUGGAUAUUGAAGAAAAGGAACAGGCCUUGGUAUCGUUAUAAAGGGGUUGAAUACCAAGAGCCCUCCCCGUAACCGUUUGGGACUCGCCUUCGAUGGAGGGAGGGAGCCAACGGGUGCGUUUGGGUUACCCACGUCCGUAUUGAUGAGAUUCCCGGAAUAAGGGGACACGAUCUCUGCUUCGACGAGACGUGCCAAGGAAACCGCUUCGCUAAACGCGCUGAGGUGGAACAAUAAAAACGAUUCGAGUAAAGGCUUGGCCGUGGUGUGACGUCAUAUCACGAAAUACGUCAGCAGAUUGAACUUGUGUAAAUAUUAUUCUCUCUACGGUGGUAUGUGGAAUUUAUUUUGCAGAGUCGGACACUAUCCUGGUGUUCACAAUCUUCUAUGAAUUAUUCGAAGGAGGAACCCACCUUGCAAUGCCGAAGAAAAUAUGCGCGCCAGACUCGUCGUCAUUGAAGCCUGGUUCAGGGGCUACUGAGGGAGUCCUGGACUAGGGGGUGUCCGGAUAGCCGAACUAUCAUCAUUGGCCGGACUCCAAGACUAUGAAGAUACAAGAUUAAAGACUUCGUCCCGUGUCCGGAUGGGACUUUCCUUGGCGUGGAAGGCAAGCUUGGCGAUACGGAUAUGUAGAUCUCCUACCAUUAUAACCGACUCUGUGUAACCCUAGCCCUCUCCGGUGUCUAUAUAAACCGGAGGGUUUUAGUCCGUAGGACGAACAACAAUCAUACCAUAGGCUAGCUUCUAGGGUUUAGCCUCCUUGAUCUCGUGGUAGAUCCACUCUUGUACUACCCAUAUCAUCAAUAUCGAUCAAGCAGGAGUAGGGUUUAACCUCCAUCGAGAGGGCCCAAACCUGGGUAAAAACAUCGUGUCCCUUGUCUCCUGUUACCAUCCGCCUAGACGCACAGUUCGGGACCCCCUACCCGAGAUCCGCCGGUUUUGACACCGACAACUAUGAUAGAUCCCCUAUACUCGUGGGUCAUCAAGACUCUUUUCUGACGCCGUUACCCGGGAUGAAGCGCCUUUGGUGAGUGGAAUUUGGUAAGGAAAAAUUUAUAUGGUGUGCUGAAAUUUACUAUCACUUGUCACUAUGGAAAAUAAUCCUUUGAGGGGCUUGUUCGGGGUAUCUUCACCCCGAUUGGAAGAACAAAGAGUUUCUCCUCAACCUACUGAACCUACAGAAAAUAUUGAAUUAAAUGCACUGGAGGUCCUAAAAGUUUCGUCGGGGUGUCACUUUAGUCCGAAUUCUUCCAAAAUGCACCUUUAAGUCCUAAUUCUUUAGUAAGUCGUUCAUGCGAGGUCCUUUUUUCAUGAGCGCUCGGUGACCUACUGAUAACCCACAAGUAUAGGGGAUCACAACAGCUUUCGAGGGUAGAGUAUUCAACCCAAAUUUAUUGAUUUUACACAAGGAGAGCCAAGAAUAUUCUUGAGUAUUAGCAGUUGAGUUGUCAAUUCAACCACACCUGGAUAACUUAGUAUCUGCAGCAAAGUGUUUAGUAGCAAAAGGGGUAGGAUAAUAAUGGUAAUGGUAGCAAAAGUAAAGAUAAAUGUUUUUGGGUUUUUGUAGUAGUUGUAAUAGUAGCAACGGAAAAGUAAAUAAGCGAAGAACAAUAUGUGAAAAGCUCGUAGGCAAUGGAUCAGUGAUGGAUAAUUAUGCCGGAUGCGGUUCCUCAUGCAAUAGUUAUAACAUAGGGUGAUAUAGGACUAGCUCCAAUUCAUCAAUGUAAUGUAGGCAUGUAUUCCGUAAAUAGUCAUACGUGCUUAUGGAAAAGAACUUGCAUGACAUCUUUUGUCCUACCCUCCCGUGUUCAGCGGGGUCCUUACGGAAACUAAGGGAUAUUAAGGACUCCUUUUAAUAGAGAACCAGAACAAAGCAUUAGCACAUAAUGAAUACAUGAACUCCUCAACUACGGUCAUCACCGAGAAGUAUCCCGAUUAUUGUCACUUAGGGGUUGUCGGAUCAUAACACAUAAUAGGUGACCAUAGACUUGCAAGAUAGGAUCAAGAACACACAUAUAUUCAUGAAAACAUAAUAGGUUCAGAUCUGAAAUCAUCGCACUCGGGCCCUGGUGACAAGCAUUAAGCAUAGCAAAGUCAUAGCAACAUCAAUCUCAGAACAUAGUGGAUACUGGGGAUCAAACCCUAACAAAACUAACUUGAUUACAUGGUAAAUCUCAUCCAACCCAUCACCGUCCAGCAAGCCUACGAUGGAAUUACUCACGCACGGCGGUGAGCAUCAUGAAAUUGGCGAUGGAGGAUGGUUGAUGAUGACGACGGCGACGAAUCCCCCUCUCUGGAGCCCCGAACGGACUCCAGAUCAGCCCCCCCCCGAGAGAGAUUAGGGCUUGGCGGCGGCUCUGUGUCAUGAAACGCGAUGAAACUUUCUCUCUGAUUUUUUUCUCCUCGAGACGGUAUAUAUGGAGUUGGAGUUCAGGUCGGGAGGUGUCCAGGGGGCCCACGAGAUAGGAGGGCGCGCCCUAGGGGGGCGCCCCCCUGUCUCGUGGAUAGCCCGUGGGCCCCCUGGCCUUCAUUCUUUCGCCAAAAAUUCUUAUUAAUUCUGAAAAGUGCCUCCGUGGAUUUCCAGGACAUUCCGAGAACUUUUCUUUUCUACACAUAAAACAACAUCAUGGCAGUUCUGCUGAAAACAGCGUCAGUCCGGGUUAGUUUCAUUCAAAUCAUGCAAGUUAGAGUCCAAAACAAGGGCAAAAGUGUUUGAAAAGUAGAUACGUUGGAGACGUAUCAACUCCCCCAAGCUUAAACCUUUGCUUGUCCUCAAGCAAUUCAGUUGAUAAACUGAAAGUGAUAAAGAAAAACUUUUACAAACUCUGUUUGCUCUUGUUGUUGUAAACAUGAAAAGCCAGCAUUCAAGUUUCAGCAAAUAUUGUGAACUAACCAUACUAACAAUAACACAUAGGUCUCACAAUUACUCAUAUGAAUAGCAUAAUCAGCUAGUGAGCUAUAAUAAUAAAACUCGGAUGAGAACACUUUCUCAAAAUAAUCAUAACAUGAUAUAACAAGAUGAUAUCUCGCUAGCCCUUUCCGAGACCACAAAACAUAAAUGCAGAGAACCUUUAAAGAUCAAGGACUAACUAAACAUUUUAAUUCAUGGUAAAACAGAUCCAGUCAAGUCAUACCCAAUAUAAAUCAAUAAUCAUGAAUGCAAAUGACAGUGUGCUCUCCAGCGGGUGCUUUUUAAUAAGAAGGGUGAUGACUCAACAUAAAAGUAAAUAGAUAGGCCCUUCACAGAGGGAAGCAGGGAUUUGUAGAGGUGCCAAAGCUUGAUUUUAAAAUAGAGAUUGAAUAACAUUUUGGGCGGCAUACUUUUGCUGUCAACGCAACAACUAUGAGAUGGUUGUAUCUUCCACACUACAUGCAUUAUAGGCAGUUCCCAAACAGAAUGGUAAAGGUUUAUACUCCCCCAACCACCAACAAGCAUCAACCCAUGGCUUGCUCGAAACAACGAGUGCCUCCAACAUACAACAGCCCUGGGGGAGUUUUGUUUAAUUAUUUUGAUUUGCUUUGAUCGUUUUGGAUCAUGGGACUGGGCAUCCCGGUUACCGGCCCUUUCUCGUGAAUGAGGAGCGGAGUCCACUCCUCUUGAGAAUAACCCACCUAGCAUGGAAGAUAUAGGCAGCCCUAGUUGAAACAUGAGCUACUCGAGCAUACAAAACAGAAUUUCAUUUGAAGGUUUGGAGUUUGGAACAUACAAAUUUACUUGGAAUGGCAGGUAAAUACCGCAUAUAGGAAGGUAUAGUGGACUCAUAGGGAACAACUUUGGGGUUUAAGGAGUUUGGACGCACAAGCAGUAUUCCCGCUUAGUACAGGUGAAGGCUAGCAAAAGACUGGGGAGCGACCAACUGAGAGAGCGACAACAGUCAUAAACAUGCAUUAAAAUUAAUUUACACCGAGUACAAGCAUGAGUAGGAUAUAAUCUACCAUGAACAUAAAUAUCAUGAAGGCUAUGUUGAUUUGAUUCAACUACAUGCGUGAACAUGUGCCAAGUCUAGUCACUCAAUUCAUUUAAAGGAGGAUACCAUCCCAUCAUACCACAUCAUAAUCAUUCUAAUAGCAUGUUGGCACGCAAGGUAAACCAUUAUAACUCAUAGCUAAUCAAGCAUGGCACAAGCAACUAUAAUCUCUAAAUGUCAUUGCAAAUAUGUUUACUUCAUAAUAGCUGACUCAGGAACGAUGAAUCAUCAUAUUUACAAAAACAAGAGAGGUUGAGUUCAUAUCAGCUUUUCUCAUCCCAAUAAGUCCAUCAUAUAUCAUCAUUAUUGCCUUUCACUUGCAUGACCGAACGAAAUGUAUAAUAAUAAGAGUGCACAUGCAUUGGACUAAGCUGGAAUCUGCAAGCAUUCAACUCAAAAGAGAAGACAAGUAAUAUGGGCUCUAAAUUAAAUAAACAAUCAUGCAUAUAAGAGCCACUAAGCAUUUUCAAUAUGGUCUUCUCCACCCCCAAAAGAAAGAAAAGAAAAUAAAACUAUUUACACGGGAAAGCUCCCAACAAGUAAAAGAAGAAGGAGAAAUCUUUUUGGGUUUUCAUUUUAAUUUUUACUACAAGCAAGGAAAUUAAACUAACUAUUUUUUUCUUAAUGUUUAACAAACACACAAGAAGAAAACUAGAAAAAGAAAUUUAAACUAACAUGGAUAAUACAAUGAAAGAGUAUGAGCACCGACGACUAGUGUGUGAACAUGAAUGUAAAGUCGGUGAGAAAUACGUACUCCCCCAAGCUUAGGCUUUUGGCCUAAGUUGGUCUAGUACCAAGGACCGCCGCUACUCUCCCCGAUGUAGUGGGAGGUGUAAUCAGGAUACCACUGGCUGGUCAUCUCCGGAUCCCACUGGACAGAUGAUGCAAGAUAAGGGUCCAAUACAGGUUUCGGCUCAGGUUCAGGUUUCGGAGAAAAAGCUUGGGCUAGAUGAUUGUUCACGGCCUCUGGCGUGAUUAGACGACUUUCUGCAAGCAAAUCAAACAACAGAGGCGCAGGCAAAAUAAUAUACUCAAAGUGUUUCUUAUUGAAUCUAAGUCUAUAAAAGAGCAUCUUCUCUUCGUUGUCAACAAUAAACUUGUGUGCUACCAUGAUCUUGUAAUCUAAAAUGUGAGGAGGUAAUUUUGUCUCCUCCUCCUCAAGAUGCCUAAGGGUAUCUAAAAAUGUUCAGCAAGGCGUGCAGCAUAGAUACGUCCAAAUAUGGGGCCUUUUGUACGAUUUAGGGCUAGCCAUUUAGCAACGACGGCACCCAUACUAAAAGUAUUGUCUCCCAGAAAGCAUGUUGAAGAAUAAUAAUAUCUGGAACGCUCAAGUUUACGCUAUUCCCACGACCAAUCAAGCAUCUACUAGCAAAUAUGGCAAAGUAGCGUAAAACAGGAAAGUGUAUGCUAGAGACUUUUGCCUCAGAGCCCUUCUUUGGCUCUUCUACAUCAAUAGUUUUAACGAAACCAUCCACAUCUUCACGAUGGGGUUCCUCUAAUUCUACCUCAUAAGGUAUCCUACACACCGCGCAAAAAUCGCGUAAAGACAUUUCUCUGAAUUCUUCAUAUAAAUGAAAUGAUACUGCAGGCGGUGACUUCUUAGGAUAAUAAUAAAAGUUUUGCACGAAAGUAUUGGUAAGUAAGAGAUACUGAUCGAUUCGGUCGUUCAUGAAACUGGUGAGGCCUGCAGUCCCGAUUAAAGCAUAAAAGUCUUCAUGGAUUUCGGCUUCUUUCAAGAAAUCCUCACGCGGCCAUUCACAUGACCGUACUUCCGCUAAGCGAGGAAGAUUAUACUUGGGUUUUUCCUUCUCUUUGUCUUGUUGUUCCUUAGAGCUUUGGCUAGAAGAGCCUUUAAAGAACCUCCUUAACAUUUUCUGAAAAUUUCUGAAAUUUUAGUAACUUCAAAAUAAAAGUGAAUAAAACUAAACAAGAUUGAUAGCAACUACUCCUACAAGUGCCUAGAGCCUAUAUCAUGCAUUGGAAUUGCUUGGGACCUCAAAAAUUUAACAUGCAAGCUCAAGAACAUGGUCACCUAUGCAGCAAAAAUUUGCAAUGAAUAAAGCACUAGAACAAAAACUAAUUGGACCAAUGGAGGAGUCACAUACCAAGCAACAAUCUCCCAAAGCAGUUUUGUGAAUGGAGCUUUGAGCUAAGAGAUCGAAAAUCGCAGCAAAAUGAGCUAGAACUCGGGCUUGAGCUGGAUGGGGAUUUUUUUUGGGUAGAAGAUGAAGUGUGUGGGUGCUGGCAUAAGUAGAGGGGACUCACCAGGGGCCCACGAGACAGGGGGUGCGCCCUACAAGGGGGGCGCCCUCCUCUCUCGUGGCCUGGUGCUUGCCCCUUUUGCAGUGUUUUCAGUGCCUAAAAUCCUCAAAUAUUCUAGAAAAAAUCAUACUAAAUUUGCAGGGCAUUUGGAGCACUUUUAUUUUUGGACUAUUUUUUAAUGCACGGAUAAUUCAGAAAAUAGACGGAUAAUGCUAUUAUUGCUUUAUUUAUUCUAAAUAACAAAAAUUAAAAAGAGGGUACAGAAGGUUGUGCCUUCUAGUUUCAUCCAUCUCGUGAUCAUCAAAAUGAACCCACUAACAAGGUUGAUCAAGUCUUGUUAGCAAACUCAUUCCGAAUAAUACGGAACCGGAGAAAUUUCGAAUAACACUAAGUUACCUCAACGGGGAUAUGAAAAUCCCCAACAAUAAGAAUAUCAUACUUUUUCUUGACAAUAGGGAGAGGAAAUUCAAAACCUCCAAAAAUGAUAGUUGGAACUUUUUCAAUAGAAUUGAUGUUACGAACUUGAGAUUGUUUCCUCGGAAAGUGUACCGUAUGCUCAUUACCAUUAACAUGAAAAGUGGCAUUGCCUUUGUUGCAAUCAAUAACAGCCCCUGUAGUAUUAAGAAAAGGUCUACCAAGGAUAAUAGACAUACUAUCGUCCUCAGGAAUAUCAAGAAUAACAAAGUUCGUUAAGAUAGUGACAUUUGCAACCACAAUAGGCACAUCCUCACAAAUACCGACAGGUAUAGCAGUUGAUUUAUCAGCCAUUUGCAAAGAUAUUUCAGUAGGUGUCAACUUAUUCAAUUCAAGUCUACGAUAUAAAGAGAGAGGCAUAACACUAACACCGGCUCCAAAAUCACAUAAAGCAGUUCUAACAUAAUUUCUUUUAAUAGAGCAUGGUAUAGUUGGUACACCCGGAUCUCCAAGUUUCUUUGGUAUUCCACCCUUAAAAGUGUAAUUAGCAAGCAUGGUGGAAAUUUCAGCUUCCGGUAUCUUUCUUUUAUUUGUGAUGAUAUCCUUCAUAUAUUUAGCAUAAGGAUUUACUUUAAGCAUAUCAGUUAAGCGCAUACGUAAGAAAAUAGGUCUAAUCAUUUCAGCAAAGCGCUCAAAAUCCUCAUCAUCCUUUGACUUGGAUGGUUUAGGAGUAAAGGGCAUGGGUUUCUGAACCCAUGGUUCUCUUUCUUUACCAUGCUUCCUAGCAACAAAAUCUAUCUUAUCAUAACGUUGAUUCUUUGAUUGUGGGUUAUCAAGAUCAACAACAGGUUCAAUCUCUACAUCAUUUUCUUUGCUAGGUUGAGCAUCAACAUGAACAUUAUCAUUAACAUUAUCACUAGGUUCAUGUUCAUCACCUGAUUGAGUUUCAGCAUCAGAAGUAGAAAUAUCAUUGGGAUUCUCUGGUGUGUCUACAGUAGGUUCACUAGAAGCAUGCAAAGUUCUAUCGUUUUUCCUUUUCUUCUUCUUAGAAGAACUAGGUGCCUCUAAAUUAUUUCUCUGAGAAUCUUGCUCGAUUCUCUUAGGGUGGGUUUAGGAAUAGGCUCAGGAGUUGGCUCAAUUGGUUCGGGAAUUACUUCAGGAACUGGCUCAGGAAGAGUCCAAUUAUUUUCAUUAGUCAACAUAUUAUUCAAUAGUAUUUCAGCUUCGUCGACUGUUCUUUCCCUGAAAACACAACCAGCACAACUAUCCAAGUAGUCCUUGGAAGCAUCGGUUAGUCCAUUAUAAAAGAUAUCAAGUAUUUCAUUUUUCUUAAGAGGAUGAUCAGGCAAAGCAUUAAGUAACCAGAGAAGCCUUCCCCAAGCUUGUGGGAGACUCUCUUCUUUGAUUUGCACAAAAUUAUAUAUUUCCCGCAAGGCAGCUUGUUUCUUAUGAGAAGGGAAAUAUUUAGCAGAGAAGUAAUAAAUCAUAUCCCGGGGACUACGCACACAACCAGGAGCAAGAGAAUUAUACCAAGUCUUAGCAUCACCCUUUAAUGAGAACGAAAAUAUCUUAAGGAUAUAUAAAUAGCGAGACUUCUCAUCAUGAGUAAAUAGGGUGGCUAUAUCAUUCAACUUGGUAAGAUGUGCCACAACAGUUUCAGAUUCAAGGCCAUAAAAAGGAUCAGAUUCAACUAAAGUAAUAAUAUCAAGAUCAACAGAGAAUUCAUAAUCCUUAUCAGUAACACAAAUAGGUGAAGUAGCAAAAGCAGGAUCAGGUUUCAUUCUAGCAUUAAGAGACUGCUGCUUCCAUUUAGCUAAUAAUUUCUUAAGAUCAUUUCUAUCAUUGCAAGCAAGAAUUUCCAUAGCAGCUAUUUCAUGCAUAACAUAACCCUUAGGAACAACAGGUAAUACAUAAUCACUGGGGGGCCUUCAUCGUCACUAUCAUCAGUAAUAGGAUCUUCAGUAAUUUCAUUCCCCCUAAAUCUAGCAAGUUGUUCAUCUAGAAAUUCACCUAAUGGAAUAGUAGUAUCACGCACAGAAGUAGUUUCAUCAUGCAUAGCAGAAGUGGCAUCAUCAAUAACAUGCGACAUAUCAGAAUUCAUAGCAGUAGCAGGUUUAGGUGUCGCAAUCUUACUUAUAACGGAAGGAGAAUCUAGUGCAGAGCUAGAUGGCAGUUCCUUACCGCCCCUCGUAGUUGAGGGUAAAAUCUUGGUCUUAGCGUCUUUCAAGUUCUUCAUAGUGAUCAACAGAUAUAAAGCCCAAGUGACUCAGAGAAUAGAGUUAUGCUCCCCGGCAAUGGCGCCAGAAAUUAGUCUUGAUAACCCACAAGUAUAGGGGAUCGCAACAGCUUUCGAGGGUAGAGUAUUCAACCCAAAUUUAUUGAUUCGACACAAGGGGAGCCAAAGAAUAUUCUUGAGUAUUAACAGUUGAGUUGUCAAUUCAACCACACCUGGAUAACUUAGUAUCUACAGCAAAGUGUUUAGUAGCAAAAGGGGUAGGAUAAUAAUGGUAAUGGUAGCAAAAGUAAAGAUAAAUGUUUUUGGGUUUUUGUAGUAGUUGUAACAGUAGCAACGGAAAAGUAAAUAAGCGAAGAACAAUAUGUGAAAAGCUCGUAGGCAAUGGAUCAGUGAUGGAUAAUUAUGCCGGAUGCGAUUCCUCAUGCAAUAGUUAUAACAUAGGGUGAUAUAGGACUAGCUCCAAUUCAUCAAUGUAAUGUAGGCAUGUAUUCCGUAAAUAAUCAUAGGUGCUUAUGGAAAAGAACUUGCAUGACAUAUUUUGUCCUACCCUCCCGUGUUCAGCGGGGUCCUUACGGAAACUAAGGGAUAUUAAGGCCUCCUUUUAAUAGAGAACCGGAACAAAGCAUUAGCACAUAAUGAAUACAUUAACUCCUCAAACUAUGGUCAUCACCGAGAAGUACCCCGAUUAUUGUCACUUCGGGGUUGUCAGAUCAUAACACAUAAUAGGUGACUAUAGACUUGCAAGAUAGAAUCAAGAACACACAUAUAUUCAUGAAAACAUAAUAGGUUCAGAUCUGAAAUCAUGGCACUCGGGCCCUAGUGACAAGCAUUAAGCAUAGCAAAGUCAUAGCAACAUCAAUCUCAGAACAUAGUGGAUACUAGGGAUCAAACCCUAACAAAACUAACUUGAUUACAUGGUAAAUCUCAUCCAACCCAUCACCGUCCAGCAAGCCUACGAUGGAAUUACUCACGCACGGCGGUGAGCAUAAUGAAAUUGGUGGUGGAGGAUGGUUGAUGAUGACGACGGCGACGAAUCCCCCUCUCCGGAGCCCCGAACGGACUCCAGAUCAGCCCUCCCGAGAGAGAUUAGGGCUUGACGGUGGCUCCGUGUCGUGAAAUGUGAUGAAACUUUCUCUCUGAUUUUGUAUAUAUGGAGUUGGAGUUGAGGUCGGGAGGUGUCCACGGGGCCCACGAGAUAGGAGGGCACGCCCUAGGGGGGCGCCCCCUAUCUCGUGGACAGCCCGUGGGCCCCCUGGCCUUCAUUCUUUCGCCAAAAAUUCUUAUUAAUUUUGAAAAGUGCCUCCGUGGAUUUCCAGGACAUUCUGAGAACUUUUCUUUUCUACACAUAAAACAACAUCAUGGCAGUUCUGCUGAAAACAGCGUCAGUCCGGGUUAGUUUCAUUCAAAUCAUGCAAGUUAGAGUCCAAAACAAGGGCAAAAGUGUUUGGAAAAGUAGAUACGUUGGAGACGUAUCACCUACCUGCGUGGCGUGUUGACCCAUGCCACGUCGAUAGAGGGCCCAACCGCCAAGCGAGAAAAAUACAUUGGAGGUCCUAAAAGUUUCUCGGCAGUGUCACUAUAGUCUUACUUGUCUCAAAAUACAAGUUUUGAUCCUAAUUCUAUAGUAAGUGGUUCAAGCAAGGUCCUUUUUUGCACGAUCUUUCACUGACCUGAUUGCGUGACGCGUUGACCCAUGCCACAUCAACUUAGAGGCUGUUGUGGUUGCUCUUUUUUUAUAAAAAGCCCCUUGUAACCCACCCCCCUCUUGACAUUUCCCAACCCCUACUGAAUCUCUCUCUCCCUCGUGCCCACACCAUUCCAUGGCUGGGGCAGCAAGCUCCUCGGCAGGGAAUCGGGUGACAAAGAGGAGCAUUGCAGCAGCGUCAGCAGCGCUGCCUCCUCCACAAGCUCCUACUACCUAACCCCAAAUUGAAGCAAGCGGUUUGAGGAACUUAACGAAAUAGUGCAAAUCAAACUAAAUCAAUGCCUACAGCUAGUGAUUGUGGCAGAGUAGAGGAAAUCACAUAGCUACGCGAUGAUAGCGGCAAAAAAUUUAGUUUUUUGCAAUGUUCCUCAUCUACUAGUAACCCUAAAUGGACAUAGCGUGGGUUACAUGCAACCAAGUAGGUCUGCAAAUGAUCGUGCGAAAAAGGACCUCGGGUGAACCACUUACUAUAGAAUUAGGACCUAAACGUGCAGUUUGAAAGAAGUAGGACUAAAGUGACACUACCCAUAAACUUCUAGGACCACCAAUGUAUUUUUCUCGCCAUCCGGUUGGGCCCUCUGUCAAUGUGGCAUGGGUCAACAUGCCACGCAGGCAGGUCAACGAGUGCUCAUGAAAAAAGGACCUCAGGUGAACCACUUACUAAAGAAUUAGGACCUAAAUGUGCAUUUUGGAAGAAUUAGGACUAAAGUGACACCCUGAAAAUAUUUAUUAUGAAAUUCCUUCGGGUAUGAUAGAGAAACUACUAGCUAGUCCUUAUGCAGGAGAUGGAAAACUACAUCCUGAUAUGCAUCUAAUCUUUGUGGAUGAAGUUUGUGGAUUAUUUAAGCUUGCAGGUUUGCCCGGAGAUGAAAUCAAGAGGAAGGUCUUCCCUUUUAUCUUUGAAGGGAAAUGCAUUGACAUGGUAUAGGCUAUGCGAUGGUAUUGGAUCUUGGAAUUACAAUCGAUUGAAAUUGGAAUUUCAUCAGAAGUUUUAUCCUAUGCAUCUGGUUCAUCAUGAUCGGAAUUAUAUAUAUAAUUGUUGGCCUCGAGAAAGAGAAAGUAUUGCUCAAGCUUGGGCGAGGCUUAAGUCAAUGUUAUAUUCAUGCCCCAAUCAUGAGCUCUCAAGAGAAAUUAUUAUUCCGAAUUUUUAUGCUCGACUUUCUCGUAAUGAUCAAUCCAAGCUCGAUACUUCUUGUACUGGUUCUUUUAUGAAGAAGACUAUUUUAUUCAAAUGGGAUCUUUUGGAAAGAAUUAAACACAACUCUGAAGAUUGGGAACUCGAUGAAGGUAAGGAGUCAGACCUAAAGCUCGAAUUUGAUUGUGUUAAAUCUUUUAUGGAUACCGAUGCUUUUCGUGAAUUUAGCACAAAAUAUGGACUUGACUCUGAGAUAGUAGCUUCUUUCUAUGAAUAUUUUGCUACUCAUGUUGAUCUCCCUAAGGAUAAGUGGUUUAAAUAUCAUCCGCCCAUUGAAGUGAAAGUAGUAGAACCCAUUAAAGUUGAAGAAGAAACUAUUACUUAUAAUGUUGAUCCGGUUAUUCCUACUGCUUGUAUUGAGAGACCACCUUUUCCAGUUAGGAUAAAGGAACAUGCUAAAGCUUCAAAUGUAGUCCGUAAGAGUUAUAUUAGAACACCUACACCCCUUGAACAAAUUAAAGUUGAACCUAGUAUUUCUAUGGUUAAAGAUCUCUUGGUCGAUAAUAUUGAUGGGCAUGUUAUUUAUUUCUGUGAUGAAGCUGCUAGAAUUGCUAAACCUGAUGAUAAAGAUAAACAUAGACCUAUUGUUGGCAUGCAUGUUGUCUCUGUUAAAAUAGGAGAUCAUUGUUAUCAUGGCUUAUGUGAUUUAGGUGCUAGUGUGAGUCCAAUUCCCUUUACCUUAUACCAAGAAAUUAUGAAUGAUAUUGCACCAGCUGAAAUAGAAGAUAUUGAUGUUACUAUUAAGCUUGCUAAUAGAGACACAAUCUCACCAAGUGGGAUUGUUAGAUAUGUUGAAGUCUUGUGUGGGAAAAUAAAAUACCCUAUUGAUUUUCUAGUUCUUUGUUCCCCACAAGAUGAUUUUUGUCCCAUUAUAUUUGGUAGACCCUUCUUGAACACUAGUAAUGCUAAAAUAGAUUGUGAGAAGGAAACUGUUAGUGUAGGUUUCGGGGAUGUGUCUCGUGAGUUUUAUUUCUCCAAAUUCUGUAAACAAGCCCGUGAUAAAGAAUUUCCUAAUAAAGAUGAAAUUAUUGGUCUUGCUUCUAUUGUUGUGCCUCCUACUGAUCCUUUCGAACAUUAUUUGCUAGACCAUGAAAUGAUAAGUUCAUGAAUGAAAGAAAAGAAAUAGAUGAGAUAUUCUUUAAACAGAUGCCUAUUUUGAAACACAAUUUUCCUUUUGAGACUCUUGGAGAUCCUCUACCACCCAAGAGUGAUCCCGUAUUUGAACUUAAGCAAUUACCUGAUACUUUGAGAUAUGCUUAUCUUGAUGAAAAGAAGAUAUAUCCUAUUAUUAUUAGUGUUAACCUUUCAGAGCAUGAAGAAAAGUAAUUAUUGAAAACUCUGAAGAAGCAUUGUGCCACUAUUGGAUAUACUCUGGAUGAUCUUAAGGGCAUUAGUCCCACUCCAUGUCCACAUAAAAUUAAUAUGGAACCUGAUGCUAAACCAAUUGUUGAUCAUCAGCGAUGGUUGAAUCCGAAGAUGAAAGAAGUGGUAAGAAAUGAAAUACUAAAGCUUCUAGAAGCAGGUAUAAUUUAUCCUAUUGCUGAUAGUAGAUGGGUAAGUCAUGUUCAUUGUGUCCCUAAGAAGGGAGGUAUAAAAUUUUUCCUAAUGAUAAAAAUGAAUGGAUCCCACUUAGAAUUGUUACAGGUUAUAGAAUGGUAAUUGAUUUUAGAAAAUUAAACAAAGCAACUAGGAAAGAUCAUUAUCCUCUACCUUUCAUUGAUCAAACGCUAGAAAGACUAUCAAAACAUACACACUCUUGCUUUCUAGAUGGUUAUUCUGUUUUUUCACAAAUACAUGUGUCACAAGAGGAUCAAGAAAAAACUACUUCUACAUGCCCUUUUGGUACCUUUGCUUAUAGAUGUAUGCCUUUUGGUUUAUGCAAUGCACCUGCUACCUUUCAAAGAUGUAUGAUUGUUAUAUUCUCUAACUUAUAUGAAAGAUUAUUGAGGUUUUCAUGGAUGAUUUUUUCGUAUAUGGGACUUCUUUUGAUGAUUGCUUAAGCAACCUUGAUCGAGUUUUGCGGAGAUGUGGAGAACUAAUUUUGUCUUGAAUUGCGAGAAGUGCCACUUCAUGGUUAGUGAAGGUAUUGUCUUGGGGCAUAAAAUCUUCCGAAAAAGGUACUGAAGUUGAUAAAGCUAGAUUUGAUGCUAUUGAAAAAAUGUCAUGUCCUACAGAUAUCAAAGAUAUAAGAAGUUUCCUUCGUCAUGCUGGUUUCUAUAAGAGAUUUAUUAAAUACUUCUCUAAAAUUUCUAGGCCUCUUACUAAUCUCUUGCAAAAAGAUGUUAUAUUUGCCUUUGAUGAUGAUUAUGUAGAAGCAUUUGAAAUCCUUAAGAACGCCUUAAUUUCUACACCUAUUGUUCAACCGCCUGAUUGGAACCUACCCUUUGAAAUUAUGUGUGAUGCUAGUGAUUAUGUUGUUGGUGUUGUUCUAGGACAAAGAGUUGAUGAAAAGUUAAAUGUUAUCCAUUAUGCUAGUAAAACUCUAGACAGUGCUCAAAGAAACUAUGCUACUACUGAGAAAGAAUUUUUAGCAGUUGUGUUUGCUUGUGAUACAUUCAGAUCUUCUAUUGUUGAUUCUAAAGUAACUAUUCACACUAAUCAUGCUGCUAUUAAAUAUCUUAUGGAAAAGAAAGAUGCUAAACCUAGACUCAUUAGGUGGGUUAUCUUGCUACAAGAAUUUGAUUUACAUAUUAUUGAUAGAAAAGGAGCUAAGAACCCGUAGCAGACAACUUGUCUAGGUUAGAAAAUGUUCUUGAUGACCCACUACCUACUGAUGAUACCUUUCUUGAUGAACAAUUAGUUGUCACAAAUGCUUCUCGUAGUACUCCUUGGUAUGCUGAUUAUGCUAAUUAUAUUGUUGCUAAAUUCAUACCACCUAGUUUCACAUACCAACAAAAGAAAAAGUUUUUCUAUGAUUUAAGACAUUACUUCUGGGAUGACCCACAUCUUUAUAAGGAAGGAGUAGAUGGUGUUAUUAGACGUUGUAUACCUGAGCAUGAACAGGAAUAGAUCCCACGCAAGUGUCACUCUGAGGGAUACGGAGGACACCAUGCUGGUGAUAAAACUGCACACAAGGUAUUACAAUCUGUUUUUUAUUGGCCUACUCUUUUCAAGGAUGCUCGUAAGUUUGCAUUGUCUUGCGAUGAAUGUCAAAGAAUUGGUAAUAUUAGUAGACGCCAGGAAAUGCCUAUGAAUUAUUCACUUGUUAUCGAACCAUUUGAUGUUUGGGGAUUUGAUUAUAUGGAACCUUUUCCUUCCUCUAAUGGGUAUAUUCAUAUUUUAGUUGUUGUUGAUUACAUUACUAAGUGGGUAUAAGUUGUUCCAACUAGUAGUGCUGAUCAUAACACUUCUACUAAAAUGCUUAAAGAAGUUAUUUUCCUGAGGUUUGGAGUCCCUAGAUAUUUAAUGACUGAUGGUGGUUCACACUUUAUUCACGGUGCUUUCCAUAAAUUGCUUGCUAAAUAUGAUGUUAAUCAUAGAAUUACUUCUCCCUAUCAUCCUCAGUAUAGUGGUCAAGUAGAAUUAAGUAAUAGAGAAAUAAAGUUGAUCUUGCAAAAGAUUGUUAACAGAUCUAGGAAGAAUUGGUCUAAGAAACUUGAAGAUGCACUAUGGGCUUAUAUAACUACUAAUAAAAACCCCAUGGGUAUGUCUCCGUAUAAAAUGGUUUAUGGAAAAGCUUGUCAUUUACCCCUUGAACAAGAACAUAAGGCUUAUUGGGCAAUCAAAGAGCUCAACUAUGAUUUCAAACUUGCCGGUGAGAAGAGGUUAUUUGAUAUUAGCUCACUUGAUGAAUGGAGAACCCAAGCUUAUGAAAAUGCCAAGUUAUUUAAAGAAAAGGUUAAAAUAUGGCAUGAUAGAAGGAUACAAAAGUAUGAAUUCAAUGUAGGUGCCAUGUCUUGUCGUACAAUUCUCGUUUAAGAUUUUUUGCAGGAAACUUCUCUCUAAAUGGGAAGGGCCUUACAUUAUCGAGGAGGUUUAUCAUUCUGGUGCCAUCAAGAUCAACAAUGCCGAGGGAAAUAACCCGAAGGUGGUAAACGGGCAAAAAAUCAAACAUUAUAUCUCAGGUACUCUCAUAAAUGUUGAAACCAAUAUUAUUAAUACCAUAACACCGGCGGAGUACAUAAGGGAAACCUACCGGAGUGCUCCAGAACUCUGAAAAGGAGUAGGUAUGUGGUACCGUAAGUAAACCGGCUCCAAAACUUUUCCAAUAGCAAUUUUACUCCGUUUUGGAAUAUUUAAAAAAUUGGGAAAUUAAAAAGUAGUCCGAAAAGUGCAUGAGGAGGCGACAAGCCUUGGGGCGUGCCCUACCCCCUGGGCACACCUCCCAGGCUUGUGGCCACCUCGUGUGCCCUCUCGACUCCGUUUUCUUGAAGGAUACUUCUUUUGGUCGGUAACAAUUCAUUAUAUAAUCUCUCGAAUGUUUUGACCACCAUACCACGACAUUAUCCUCCAUUCUUGUUUCGAGCUGUUUUUCUGACAGAACUAGAUCGCCAUGUCGUCCCCAAGCGCUCUGAAGUACAAGAUAUUCGAGAAGGUCAUCAACCCCUACCUUGCGGAGGUGCUGCAACACCCUCAAACCAUUGAGAUGCAUGAGGGGUGCUGCACAUCCGGGAUGUUCAAGGGCCAAAGAAGACCAGAAGCGUGGAGACCAGGCUCGAAGCGAUGGAGCAGCAAGUCUUCAAGUGCCAAGGGAUGGUGGAACAUGGACUCAACGCCAAUCACUUAAUGAUCACGAAAUUUACCCAUGAUCGCAAGCUAGACGCCAAGAACAUCGGGGAGUCCAUCUUCAAGCUUCAUGAGAAAAUCGAGCAUCUCCAAGCCCAGAUCUAUGACCUCCAAAACCAAAAUUGUGAGUAUGAAUACAGAUUUAAGAGGAUGAGUUCGGCUGCAGAAUUGAGGAUCCCGGAGACCUGUUCAUCUUUUUACGAUGGUGAACCAAUGCCUUGGAAGAUGGAGGACAAGCUUCCCCCAUCAUCAUCUUCAUCAUCACAACCUUUGAAGAAGGAGACUUGAGUACAUGGGUAUGGGCACUCCCCUUGGCUUGUGCCAAGCUUGGGGGAGGUGCCCGGGUAUCGUAUCAUCAUCACAUCUUUACCUUUAUCAUUUAUCUUAGUUCGAUCUUUUGGUUAUAUCUCGAUUUAGUAGAAUAAAAGUUUUUAGCAUGAUCUAGUCCUUCAGUUUUACUUCGUGAUCUAUCUUUGUCAUCGAGUGUGAAAGUUAUAAUAAAGAGUAGUUUUGAGUAAGGGCUUUGCUUUCUUGCUUUGAUCUUAAAAAAUAAGAAAACAAAAAAGAAUUAAAGAAAUAAAAAGAUUAUAUGAUAAUCUUAUGGAGAAUGAUGACUUCACAUACAAGAAGUAUGAGGUUUGAAACUUGUUGUGGGUCAUUAGUGUCAAGUAUUCCUACGCCUCGUCCCACUGUUGUAGAUCCAACGCCAUCCUCUCCUAUGAUUUCUUCUCCUCCCUCAUAGCAUGACUCUCCACCUUCAUCAUCGAUACCUCCCCCUUCUCCACCUUCAUCAUCGAUACCUUCCCCUUAUCCACCUUCAUCACCGAUAAAUUCUCCGUCUCCACCUCUGGUGAUUUCACCUCUUUCCUCCUUUUCUUUCCAUUAACUUGUGGUCCACAUGUUGUGGAUGAGUCUACUGAUGUGCCCUCUACUUAUGGUGUGUCGUCUUCCUCCUCUCAACCGACUUAUGGUCUUCGUUCUCGGCCUUGUUCGCCCCCUGAUCGAGUUCUCCUUCCCUCUAUGGUCUUUUCGACUGUGCUUGAGCCGACUUCUUAUCGAGAUGUUGUUGUUCAUCCUGAAUGGCAGAGGAGAUUGCUUCCCUUGAGCGCACCGGCACGUUGGAUCUAGUUUCUCUUCCCCGUGUUCGUCCUAUCACUUGCAAGUGGGUCUAUAAGAUUAAGACUCGCUCCGAUGGUUCUCUUGAGCGUUAUAAAGCUCAUCUUGUGGCGUGGCUUUCAACAGGAGCAUGGUCAUGAUUAUGAUGAGACUUUUGCUCCUGUGGCACAUAUGACCACUAUCUGCACACUUCUCGUUGUGGCCUCUGUUUGCCACUGGUCUGUGUCACAGCUUGAUGUUAAGAAUGUCUUUCUUAAUGAUGAGCUACGUGAGGAGGUUUCUAUGUAACCACCACCUGGAUAUUCAGUUCCUGAUGCCAUAGUUUGUCGUCUUCGUCUCUCUCUCUCUCUCUCUCUCUCUCUCUCUCUCUCUCUCUCUCUCUCUCUCUCUCUCUCUCUCUCUGGCCUUAAGCAAGCCUCCCACGCCUGGUUUGAGCAUUUUCCUUCUUUAGUCACUACACCUGGUUUUCGGCGGUGCUUAGGAUCCAACACCGUUUGUCCAUCUUUCUGCUCGGGUCGCACUCUUCUUCUUCUAUAUGUUGAUGACAUGAUCAUCACUAGCGAUGAUUCUGAGUGCAUUGCCUUUGUCAGGGCAUGUUUUAGUGAGCAGUUUCUUAUGUCUGAUCUUGGUCGGAUAGAGGUUUCCUCCACCUCUGAUGGAUUUUUUUAUUUUCGAAGAAAAGUAUAUCUUGUCCAUAUUCUGAGUCAGUUUGUUUCUGCUCCCACUUUAGUUCACUAUAGUCACCUUCUUCGUGUUCUAUGAUAUCUUCGUGGCACGAUCGCUCAUCAUCUCUUUUUCCCUCGUUCCAGCUCCAUGCCUAUUCGGAUGCUACGUGGGCUAGUGAUCCUUCGUAUCGCCGUUCGCUUUUUGCUUAUUGUGUUUUUCGUGGUGGUUCUCAUUGUCUGGAAGAAGGAGAAACGGACUGCAGCUUCUCGUUCGAGUGUAGAGACCGAGUUGCGAGCUAUGGCUCUUACGAUGACAAAGAUGGCUUGGUUAUGAUGGUUGCUGGAGGAUUUUGGUGUUCUGUUACGACACUUACCACCCUCUUGUCAGACAGUACAUGUGCUAUCAGUAUUGCGCGGGACCCCAUGAAGCAUGAGCUUAACAAGCAUAUUGGUGUUGAUGUUUUUUUUAUGCGCGCUGCUGUGCAGGAUCAUGUUAUUGUUCUUCAGUAUGUGCCUUUCAAGUUACAGCUAGCAGACUUCUUCACGGAUGCCCAGACUAGAGCGCAAUAUGAAUUUCACCUCUCCAAACUCUGUGUUGUGGAUCCACCAUGAGUUUGAGGGAGGGGUUAGAGUUAUACUACCUCUCUCAUGGUUUUUUAGUUCCAUAUGUAAUAUGUGCUAAAAUUUGAUUAAAGAUUUAACUGACAAAAUAUUAGUACAGGUCAACAAAAAUUAUAUCGUUGGAUUCGUAUUUGAACAUAGUUUUCAAUGACGUAAUUUUUGGUGACAUGCAUGAACAUUUUGUUAGUUAAAUUUAUGGUUAAAAUUUGACAUAGAUUACCAUGAAGACCAAUAAACCAAGACGGAGGUAGUACUAUUGAUGAUGGUCUUCGGUGUUUUGUAUUCUAGAUUUUUUACAUCCUUUUCUACAUGUAUAUACGCUGACUUUAGGCUCGUAACAAUAUUGAGUUGCUAUUCCUAACAGGCUAACAGGCGCGUGCGCGAAUGCAACGCAAGUACGUGGUGCGUGUUGCACCCACACUCGUGACGGCGUCGGCAUGUAACCCAAAACGGACCGCCAUUUUUGACACAGCAUGUGCAUGACCAUGUCCAUCCAGACACACUAUCACCGGUACUAGCAGCCAACGUAGCAUGUGCACGUGAUGGACCAGAAGGCUUUCCCCCAUGGCCGCCCCGCCCGGACGGGGUCACAUGCGAGAGCGAGACGAAACGAAGCAGCGCCGCGCCAGUUUGGCAUUCCAUUCCGUUUGACCACCAUCCCCACCCCACGGGAAGGGAAAAAGCGACGAGGACACGCAUAACAUACAUAGCUGCUUUUGAGGCAGCCAAAAGCUGGUGGUGUCUGCUCGCUCGGCUCAGCGUGCAAAAAGAGAUUCUGUGCGUGCUCCCGCGACGUUUUUUUGGGCACACUUGCACCACCACCCAAGCCUGCAAGUUUGUUUACUCAAAUCGUCUAGGCUGCGAGGAGGAAUAGGCUCGUAGCAGCCAGGUCAUGUGAUCGCGGCUAUUUUCCUCCUCCUGCUCCUUUGAUCGGCGCACCCUAUUUUUGUCUGCCAUGCUUUGUUUGUCUGUCCACUCUCACGGACAUUAGAGCAACUUUAACGGGGCGAUUCGUCCGCCCAUGUCCCUUUAGGUCAGCGCGGACAAAAACAUCGGCCCAACUUGCCGACCCAUUUUCGGCUGCGCCUGAAAUGCGUCGGUGCGGACGCCAAGUGAACACGCCGCACGUCUCGUCGGUUUCCGCCACGGUCCCACUUGACGCCACCCAACUAUCGCCCAUCGUCUAAUUUAUGACGACCACCAACACCGGGCCCACUAGUCAGCCAGUGGAAGCAUCGUUUUUCAACCCAGCGUGCGGCGGGGAGGCGGCCUCAUCCACUCCCGUCCACAUCUGGCCCCCCACCACACCCCUUCGUGCUUCCUCACCAGCGACACCCUAAACCCUAGCAAUGGGGCCUCUUCGGCAGCAGCUCCGGCAGCGGCAAGAGCAAGGGCACCCCUGGCGCCUCAUCCUCCCGUGCUCCUCCUUUCCCUCCUUCUUCGCCGCCGGCACGUGCCCGCCCAGGUCGGCAGCGUGUGCACAUCUCGGUGCACCAAGCGCGGUGGCACUGAGAGUACAGGCAGCCGCUGCCUUACCCCGACGUGACGCUGCCGCAUGAUCCGCAGCAGAUCCCGGUGCCGGCGGUUCCGCGGACACAGCGGGCGCACGACGAGGAGGUGCGCAGGCGCCUGGCGCAGCUCACGCCGGCGUAACGGCGGAUGCCCGAGUACGACGCCAACUCCCCCAACUGGGAGGCCUGGUUUGCCCUCGAACAAGAGGAGCAACGACGGCUAGGCGUCGACGCCAACUCGCAGUUUCCACCGCCGCCCCCGCGGGUAGAGCCGGAGGAAAUGGAGGCGGAGGCGGAGUACCAAGUCGCCCUCGAGGAGGCCCUGCAGCACGCGCUGGAGGGUAGCCGACUCGAGGAGGACGCACAUUAGGGCGGGUUGGAGCAAGCCCUUGCCUUGUCGGCGGCAGGGGACUCCGUCCACGCCCCGCUCUUCGACCCGCCUCCGCCAUCGCUGCCGCUGCCCAUCGUCGAGCCCAAGUUGGAUCCGGAGCCGAUGCGAAAGCGCUCGCCGCCUCCAUCCACUUGGCUGAAGGAGACCUACACGUUGGAGUUGCUCUUUCUACGUACUCCCUCUGUUUCUUUUUAGUUUGCAUAUAAGAUUUGUCAAAGUCAACUUUUGUAAAAUUUAACUAGCUUUGUUGGAAAAGAUAUCAACAUCCACACUAUGAAAUCAAUAAUAUUAGAUGUAUGAUGAAAUUAAUUUUCAUAACAUAUAACUUUAGUAUUGAAGAUGUUAAUAUUUUUUCUAUAAAGUUAGUCAAAUUUUACAAAGUUUGAUUUUGAUCAAAUCUUAUAUGCGGCCUAAAAAAUUGGAGGGAGUACAAUUUGAUUAUGGAUCACGAUGCGAAAGCAACCGCGCAAGGUUCCUCUGCGAGGAGAGCUUUAUGGCCAUCUUCUCUCUGCUCCAAUCGUGGCCGUGGCCGUGGCGUGGCGGAAAACACCGUCCACGGUGCAGACAAAGGUCAAGAGGGCGAGUAAUAAAAGCAUGGGCGCAGUGAAGCGAGCACAGGAACCGAAGGCGCAAAGCCAGGCAAACACUGACACCCUCCCCCACAAUUAAUUACAAGCUGCUCCGGACGGACCUCGAGACGAGACGAGACGGCGCACGCAUUGGAUGCCAUUCUAAUCUCUCCUCCCCUCCCCGCCUCUCCAUUAUCGGAGGUCGGCCAAACCCCCCUUCCAUCCCCUUCCCUUCCCUUCCCCGGCCAAAAACAAGCAAACAAGUAACAAAAACCAAACCUUUUUCGUCGCUCCCCCGCCGCUCUGGUCCUGCGCGCUGGACCGGAGCGCUCGCCUGCCUUCCGGAAGGGGGAAAGUGGGACUGAGAGAGAGCACACCAGAACCAGAUGGCCCCGCUCGCCGCCCGUCGGUAGCCCCGGGCAGACAUUGCCGUCUCCCUCUUCCUCCUCCCCGGACAAGAAGUAGAAGCCGCCGGGGGCAAUGAGGAAGCACGGGUGGCAGCUGCCGUACCACCCGCUGCAGGUGGUGGCGAUAGCCGUCUUCGCCGCGCUGGGCUUCGCCUUCUACGUCUUCUUCCUGCCCUUCGUCGGCAGCCAGACCUCCCAGUACGUCGCCAUGGGCCUCUACACCCCGCUGGUGAGCCCACCCACCUUCCCCAACCCCCGCCCCCUCCUCACCAGCAACAGAUCCGGUGACUCGCCGGCGGUGCAACAAAUUCCCUGCAGAUUACGUGCGUCGUCACGCUCUACAUUUGGUGCGCCGCCACGAACCCCGGCGACCCCGGCAUCUGCAAGUCGGCCAAGCUGCACUCGAGGAUGGACAAGGACGGGCGGCAGUCCCACUCCCACAUGGAUUCGGACCACGGCCUGAAUGCCGCUGACAACAGCGAGAAGCUGAGCAGCAUGCUCGAGAGGAAGGACUCGCCUUCUUGGCCCAGAUGCUCUCAACUGCUCUGCUUAGUCUGCUUGCCCUUUUCCUGCCUCUGCAAAAGAUGCCUCCGUUCAGAUGACCGGCAUUCUGAAGAGAACAUGAGUGAGGAGGGCAUGUUCUUCUGCAGCUUAUGCGAAGCAGAGGUAUGACAUGUCCAACAUUAUUGAGCAAUUUCGCAAAGUGUUGUCUUCUACAUGUUUCCACCAAGUUGUGCUUAGUGUGCCAAGUGCCAAUGAAUUUGGACUAAAUGUCAGGAUAUUCGAUGUAAUUUUAGAACUACUGUAACUUACUACUGAUAGGUUGUAGUCAGACAUACAAGAUGGUGUGUAGUAGUUUGAAUCAAAUGUUAUUGCUACAUUAGGUAGCUCUAUCUUACGGGGAAUGGCAUGACUUCUUCACCUUUUCUGCGACAUGUUAUUACAAACCUUCGUAUGUAUUUAUGUAGGUUUUGAAGAACAGUAAGCAUUGCAGAGUGUGCGACAAGUGUGUUGAUGGCUUUGAUCACCAUUGCAGAGUAAGAUACAUUUUCAAUGUCCUCUGCCCUGUUAUUCAUAUCCCUGCUUCCUUUCAAGAAUGCGACGUUCCUAUUUUCCCUGAUGUUCUUGCUCUCUCACAGUGGCUCAACAAUUGCGUUGGGAAAAGGAACUACAAAGGGUUCUUCAUUCUAAUGACUUCUGCUGUUCUCCUGGUAAGUGUGGGCCUCUCUAUGAGUUGACCACAAUGGGAUCUGAAAAUGAAAAGUCAAAAGAGUGUAAUAAGUUGAGAACAAUGAUAGCUACCCUGUAACUGCAUUCACCUUCAGUUGCUGAGAUGGUGAAAUCAUAACUUCAUAGUCAUCAUAACUUAUGCAACCAACUAGCAAGUGCUUGUAGUUAGAUUUUCUCUUUCCGUGUCCCUUUUAUUCUGGUUGAUCAUUGACAGGUCUCCAUGGUUUGUACACCUUGGGCAGCUUGUAGUGCAGUGGUUGUCAGGAACCCUUGUGAUAAUUCUCUGCAUUGUGAAGCGAGGGGAGUUCUCAAGGCAGAUUGACUCAAAGUUAGGAAGCAGCUUCUCAACUGUAGCAUUUGUAAUUGUCGUGGUGAGUUUAUAUAAUUUUCCUAUCCAAUACAUGCUUACCGCACUGAGGCAUGAAGCAAAAAUUUAUUUACAGCGUUGAAUGUUUAUAUUACAUAUUACUAUUCUGAUGAUGAUACAUUUUACUUAUUACAGGCUACUUGCACCAUACUAGCAAUGAUCGCGACUGUACCGCUUGCUCAACUUCUGUGCUUCCAUAUUCUUCUUAUCAAGAAGGUAAAUCACUUUGAGACUGUCACUGAAGCUGUGGAUUUUUUUCAUUGUUUCAUUUCGAGACAGGGAGAGGGGGAGGGAGGAGGGUUCCUCAUCCUAAAUUUUUGAAAUCAAAAGACAGCUUCCGUGCAAAACAUGUUUGGCCAUAAUUUUGCUAUUGCUUCAUCCUUACUUCCAUCUAAUCCCAAACAGAGUCAACUCUUAUUCCAUUUUUCUUUUAUUGCCAAUUCUUUCGGCAUAUUUGUGGAUGAUAAGACAGCAAACGGUGACCAUCUCCUUUAACUGAAUUCAAUGAAGUCAGAAAAUUAUCUGUAUGUUGCCAGAAAGUACAAUUUCCUCAACCUGUUAUGUCAUGGAAGAGAAGUUUGCAUUUGUUCAUUUUAACAUGUCUUUUUCCCGUAUAACUUGAGGUUAAUUACUAUCCUUCUCAUAUUGAUUUAGGGAAUUAGUACAUAUGAUUACAUCAUAGCUUUGAGAGAGCAAGAGGAAGAUCAGCAAGAAGAGGUUGCUGGUCACCAAAGUCCGCAGAUGUCUAUCAUUAGUUCUGUUACUGGAUUUAGCACAGCAAGUUCUUUUGGUCCUCUUCAUCGUGGUUCAUGGUGCACUCCACCACGAUUAUUCCUUGAAGAUCAGGUAUGUGACUACAAAUAAUCCAUUUCUACCGGGAGCUAUAGAUAAUCAAGAUUGAACACAGAUCCUGGAUGUGAAAGCACAGCAAAAUAUGAUGCACUCUCCAUCCAUCUGUCAGGGUCUGGUUCGCAUCAAUUUUCCUAUGAAUAAUUGGCUGUUGUUUCGUCAUAAAUGAAUUAUGUCAUUUGCUCUCAGUAUGAAGCAAACUACUGCCAGAUAUAUAAUGUGAUUGCCUUUUUAGUUUGAAAUAACUACUUGAAUUUGCACCUGCUCUCAUGUUGUCCUAUCAGUACAACAAUAAAGCCUUUCAGUCCCCAGCAUGUUGUCAGAUUAGUAACUAUACAAAAUUUGGUUUGAAAUAAUGUAACAAUAGAAUGGUUUAUUGGUCUAAACCAAAAUUAAAUUUUGAAUACCCACAGUUAGUAUUGCGCCAAAGCUCAGGAAGCUCAACUGGUGUUGAACAACAAGUACUAAAAAAUAUGAAGACAUUUUCAAACAUGUGCUGAUGCUUACUGUUCACAUUUUUCCUGCACAGUUUGAUGUCAUCCCUCCGGAGAUUGGCAUGUCACAGAACCCUGGAAGCAAGAAGAUGAAGAUACCGGAAGGAGCAAGAAGAAGAAAUGGAACGGUAAAAAUCAGCCCCUGGACACUGGCACGCCUCAACGCCGAGGAAGUGUCAAAGGCAGCCGCCCAGGCAAAGAAGAAAUCCAAGAUUCUGAAGCCUAUUGCAAGACAAGACCCUCCGAUCAUCCAUGACAACAGGAGGGGGCGAUUCCCUGCCGAACUCUCUCUCGAUCCCCUAGCAAGGCUAUCCGCAAGCGGCACCGAGAGCAACUUCAGCGAUGCGGCAAUGGAAGCUUCUGCCAGUCUAGCCCCACUGCAGCUCGAAGCGAGGAGCGCUUUCCAACCAAGCACCGCGGCAUCCUCCAGAAUCGCCGUCUCAUCGUCUGAGAGCAGCUUCGAUUCACCUGAUCUCCACCCAUUUCGAGUUUCUUCAUGCACCGCCGACGAAAUGCUGGGAGUUAUUACGCCGCAUGCGGCUCAGAGCCACAUCGAGUUCACAAGAUCGACGAGCGACGGGUAUGAGGCGUCGGGAGGCGAAGACAGUGACCGCAUCCCGUCGAGAAUCGUGCACAGAUCGUCCAACUGGGCUAACUCGCUUCUGCAUUCCGGUCAGGCUGGACCGGCGCCUGACCAGCACAUGCCAUUGUCUGAAGGGUUUCUUAACAACAGCAGAUCAGGCUAGUUAUAUGUGCUCAUCUGACCAACAAAAAUGGUAGGAAGAAGCUGCGUGGUGUUGGUACCCGGAGAAUCGCUGCAUAUGGCAGAGCAAAGCUGGGAAAACAUUGGUUAAUUUGUAAUCUAGGGUUAGGUUUUGUUAGUGGUGAUGUUAGAGCAAUGCUCAUUUGAUGUUAGCUCAUGCAAACUGCUAGUGUGUUGCUAACAGUAGCAUUCUGGUGUGUUUCGACAGAUUGCAGUUGUUAAGCUAAAUUCAGUAGAAAUUGUCUGAUGAUCUAUCUCUAUUACCGCUCAUCAUCUUGUGUUCGUUACGUACCAGACUAUCAGUGGUACGGCAGAUUGACAGAUACCUUACCUGCCAAUCGGUUGCCGGUGAUUAUAUGAUGUGAUCUACCAAUGGCAACCUUGCAUAGCAAACAAUGGCGCUACUGAAUACUGAAUCAUACGAGCACAGUGCCCCAUUCCAGCAAGCAAAGAGUGAGCACAAAUUCCUAAACUCAUGUAAGAAGCGCCAAACACAAAAAGAGAAAAAAAAGAGAGAAACCCACAAAGUUACAAAGUUUGUAUGAAUCAUGAAUUAAUUUCAGUUCCAGCACAUAUUUGCCUUUCUUCAAGCUAUGAAGUGCGCACAAAAAUAAAGCAAACACAAGCUCAAGACUCGAGAGAACGGAAUAUCUAUAUCUGAACAUAAGUACAAAAGAGACAGAGAGGAUGUAGCUUCUACUUCAACAGCAUCCCUCUACAGCUACAUAUUUGAAUCGUACGGGCGCUUAUGAAGUUUCUUCAACCCAUACCAUGGGACAAUUUGCAUCUUGGUCUUUGAUAAAACCAUCCGGGGGUGUAAUUUACAAAGGACAGUCGCCAGUAAGUAAACAGGUAAAGGGAAAGACCAGGAUGGCAUAACUACUUGCUGUUGUCCCCAGGGAAGGAAAAAACUUCAGCUGCUACAUCAAAAGAAACAUAGCGCGAAAUGAUACUAC
rnacentral:lncRNA from 1 species